UCAUGUGAGACUAAUAACACGGAUUUCAAAUCUCUCUGAAGCCACAUCCAUAACCGGUGAAACUCCGCAAAUGCUUCGACGACUUGGGUUCAAUCAGUUCGCGACCAAUCUAGGGAUUCAGAUCGGUGUUUCGAGUUUGUGUGUGUCGCAAGCUUUCAGAUUUUGGGGAUCUAACAACAAGGAUCAAUAAGCAAUAGAGAAAGAGACUGUGCAAUGGAGCAAAGGAUGAUAAACUAUCGAGCAAGAAAACGCAGAAAAUCAUAUGGAGAGUAUAGUGGGAUAUUAAGUAUGAGUACCUGAGUGCCACUGCCAUUGUCACUUCCAUCAUGGUUCAGACCAGUGCUCCCGAUGUCAUCCUCAUAUUCGCUACCGAUGUCAUUUCCCACCUGGUCAAGGCUUCUCCGCUUUGUGGAUUUUGGGGUCUGUAUACUAUUUUCGCUUCCGCUUGACUGAUGAAAGUGUGAAAGGUGAAUGCCGAAACAGUAGAAGGUAAAUGGUUUUCUGUUGCUUUUCCAUAUUUAUGCAGAAGUUUAAAAACACAGUUUAAGGAAACAGGGUAUAAGUGUGAGACGAAACAGCAAAGCUCACUUUCACUUACCUAAAACAAAUACCUUAUGUUCUGUCACGAAUCUCUAAUCCAAGGACAUGGACAAAAUGAUACACACAUAUGUGAUUUAAAAUGGAAUUUAGUCGAUAUAUCAUAUGCUUAAUCGAAUUAACGCUCAUGUAAACUUUCACAACUCACGCUUUGGCAUCUCCUCCAGGCAUGCUGCCAUAGAUUUCGAAGCUCGUUCUUUCGAAUAGGCUUGACUAGAUAGUCGACCGCACCCUUGGAUAAGCAUUUGAACACUAUAUUCAUCGAAUCGUGGGAUGACAUCACUGCACAUAAAACUCAUGAGGCGGAGAAGUUAAAAGCAUCUAAAGGCACAAGGUUGUAAUACUCUGAUCUUUCAGGAACAGCACAAGAAUUCUAACUCACUAAUAACUGGAAUGCUUUUGCGAGUUCUGUGGCUCAUGAUCUUAGCUAGAAGGCCGAUGCCUGAUAAACCCGGCAAGGCUACUUCCGUCAGAACAAGGUCGAUGUGAUUGGCUAAAUCCUCCAAGGUUUUCCAUGCUUGUAGACCAUUUGCUACAGGCACAACUGCAAAGAUGAAGAAGAAAUUUUAGGAUCGUAUGCAACUGAAGGAGAAGGUUUAGCUCGAUGUAAGGCGCAGAAUCACAAAGCAGUUUCUGAGCAAGAAAAAUAGCUUUCUAACACUCAAACAGCUCGGAACAUCUCACCUUCAUAACCACAGUUCUGAAGCAGAGCAAAGACCACAAGACGAGUUGAAUCGUCGUU